rnacentral:rRNA from 1 species
GACGAACGCUGGCGGCGUGCCUAAUACAUGCAAGUCGAGCGGACAGAUGGGAGCUUGCUCCCUGAAGUCAGCGGCGGACGGGUGAGUAACACGUGGGCAACCUGCCUGUAAGACUGGGAUAACUUCGGGAAACCGGAGCUAAUACCGGAUACGUUCUUUUCUCGCAUGAGAGAAGAUGGAAAGAUGGUUUCGGCUAUCACUUACAGAUGGGCCCGCGGCGCAUUAGCUAGUUGGUGAGGUAAUGGCUCACCAAGGCGAGGAUGCGUGGCCGACCUGGGAGGGUGAUCGGGCACACUGGGACUGAGACACGGCCCAGACCCUACGGGAGGCAGCAGUAGGGAAUCUUCCGCAAUGGACGAAAGUCUGACGGAGCAACGCCGCGUGAACGAUGAAGGCUUUCGGGUCGUAAAGUUCUGUUGUUAGGGAAGAACAAGUACCAGAGUAACUGCUGGUACCUUGACGGUACCUAACCAGAAAGCCACGGCUAACUACGUGCCAGCCGCCGCGGUAAGAC